rnacentral:rRNA from 1 species
UACGGAGGAUGCAAGCGUUAUCCGGAAUUAUUGGGCGUAAAGAGCUCGUAGGCGGUUUGUCGCGUCUGCCGUGAAAGUCCGGGGCUCAACUCCGGAUCUGCGGUGGGUACGGGCAGACUAGAGUGAUGUAGGGGAGACUGGAAUUCCUGGUGUAGCGGUGGAAUGCGCAGAUAUCAGGAGGAACACCGGUGGCGAAGGCGGGUCUCGUGGGCAGUAACUGACGCUGAUGCGCGAAGGCGUGGGGAGCGAACGGG